CGGGGCGUAGUCUAGUGGAACAGGCAGCGAGCUUCUAACUCGCCUUACGAGGGUUCGAAUCCUUCCGUCCCGA
rnacentral:tRNA from 1 species